UGCAAGCCUGCUCCUCAGCUGAUAUCCGGGACAACCUAAACCUACCUGGGAGAACUUUAUUAAUGGGUAACAAUCUAAAUUCAUCCACAACAUUUGUAAAAUAUACAGUUUUGUCCAUUUGUUUAUGAGAUAACUCAAUGUUUUAAUUAGCACUCUGCCUUACAGGUGGUUCUGGCAACUUUAAACAAAAAAACAACAUUCAUGUGAAUAUCUGCUUUGACUUUAACUCCAAUUAUAAGUUGUCUUUUCCAAUUCCACUUUUUACUUUCUUGUGUUGGAUACUGAGAAACAUUUGCAAGUGUUUUAACUUUAUUAUUUCAAAGUUCUUCACAGCAAAUUGAUUAUUAUUGUUAUGGGUACUGAGAUACAGUAAAAAGCUUUGUUUGCAUGCAAUCCAGUCUGAUAAGACUGUACAUUAAUACAAUCUAGCCAUCCACAGUGCACAGAUAAGGACAAAGGGAACAACACUCAUUGCAAGAUCACUGUUGAAAAUGCAUAUAUACUAAGAUCCCACAAACAGCAAUUGAUAAACAUAAAAUCUUAGUUUUGGUAAUGUUAAUUGAUAAGAACCCUACAUAUGAGUUUCUUUUACUUCAUCUGAAAUAGGAAAUUAGGUCUGAGCCAAAUUUCAUGUAUUAAAAUGAAACCAUAACAAUGGUUCAGGUAAGUGUGCUACUGGUACAAUUAUGCCUCCAUUAAUGGACUUUCAACUUUUUAAUGCUAUAAAUAUGUCCAAUUAUUUCAUUGGCGGUAGCAUCAACUGCAGAUUAGCAGCCCCAGAGGCAAUUCAUAAGCAGGAAAGGAAGGAAGCAGUUUAACGUAUGAGUUUAAAUGCUAUAUAUUUUUUACAUUAAAAAGGGAAGGGAUCAAAAACAUUAACCAAAAUGCUGCUGUUGUUGGACAUCUGAUUU